AGGACGAACGCUGGCGGCGUGCUUAACACAUGCAAGUGGAGCGACGAACCAGGGCUUGCCCUGGGGCAGAGCCGCGAACGGGUGAGUAACACGUGGGUUACCUGCCUUGAUGACCGGGACAACCCGAGGAAACUCGGGCUAAUACCGGAUGUGCCCGCAAGGGGAAAGGAAGCUUCGGCCUCCGCAUCAAGAUGGGCCCGCGGCCCAUUAGCUUGUUGGUGAGGUAACGGCUCACCAAGGCUUCGAUGGGUAGCUGGUCUGAGAGGACGAUCAGCCACACUGGGACUGAGACACGGCCCAGACUCCUACGGGAGGCAGCAGUGGGGAAUCUUGCGCAAUGCGCGAAAGCGUGACGCAGCAACGCCGCGUGGGGGAAGAAGGCUUUCGGGUUGUAAACCCCUUUCAGUUGGGACGAAGCUUCUCCGGUGAAUAGCCGGAUGGAGUGACGGUACCUUCACAAGAAGCACCGGCUAACUACGCGCCAGCAGCCGCGGU
rnacentral:rRNA from 1 species